CAGCAGCCGCGGGAAUACGAAGGGUGCAAGCGUUAAUCGGAAUUACUGGGCGUAAAGCGUGCGUAGGCGGUGAGUUAAGUCCGCUGUGAAAUCCCCGGGCUCAACCUGGGAAUGGCAGUGGAUACUGGCUCGCUAGAGUGUGUCAGAGGAUGGUGGAAUUCCCGGUGUAGCGGUGAAAUGCGUAGAGAUCGGGAGGAACAUCAGUGGCGAAGGCGGCCAUCUGGGACAACACUGACGCUGAGGCACGAAAGCGUGGGGAGCAAACAGGAUUAGAUACCCGCGUAGUCCCUGUCUCUUAUAC
rnacentral:rRNA from 1 species